rnacentral:rRNA from 1 species
UUCCGGUUGAUCCCGCCGGACCUGACUGCUAUCGGAUUGAUACUAAGCCAUGCGAGUCUUUGUAGUAAUACAAGGCAGACGGCUCAGUAACGCGUAGUCAACCUACCCUAUGGACGGGAAUAAUCUCGGGAAACUGAGCAUAAUACCCGGCGUACCACCAUUCCUGGAAUGGUUGGUGGUUAAAAUGAUUCGUCGCCGUAGGAUGGGACUGCGACCUAUCAGCUUGCUGGUGAGGUAAAGGCCCACCAAGGCGAUUACAGGUACGGGCUCUGAGAGGAGAAGCCCGGAGAUGGGUACUGAGACACGGACCCAGGCCCUAUGGGGCGCAGCAGGCGAGAAAACUUUGCAAUGUGCGAAAGCACGACAAGGUUAAUCCGAGUGAUUUCUGCUAAAGGAAUCUUUUGCCAGUUCUAAAAAUACUAGUGAAUAAGGGGUGGGCAAGUUCUGGUGUCAGCCGCCGCGGUAAAACCAGCACCUCAAGUGGUCAGGAGGAUUAUUGGGCCUAAAGCAUCCGUAGCCUGCUCUGUAAGUUUUCGGUUAAAUCUAUAUGCUCAACGUAUAGGCUGCCGAAAAUACUGCAGUGCUAGGAAGUGGGAGAGGUAGACGGUACUUGAUAGGAAGGGGUAAAAUCCUUUGAUCUAUCGAUGACCACCUGUGGCGAAGGCGGUCUACCAGAACACGUUCGACGGUGAGGGAUGAAAGCUGGGGGAGCAAACCGGAUUAGAUACCCGGGUAGUCCCAGCUGUAAACGAUGCAGACUCGAUGAUGCAUUGGCAUAUAGCCAGUGCAGUGUCGCAGGGAAGCCGUUAAGUCUGCCGCCUGGGAAGUACGUACGCAAGUAUGAAACUUAAAGGAAUUGGCGGGGGAGCACCACAAGGGGUGAAGCCUGCGGUUCAAUUGGAGUCAACGCCGGG